GCAUUAUAGAUUAUAGGUUAUUAACUCUUAUAGUCAGUCUCUAGACACCCCUACUUAAGGCCUAAUUAUGGCUGCAGAGAAGAACAGAAAUGUUAUCAAUUUUGACAAUGGAAAGUAGCAUUAACAGAUACAGGGAUGUGGAAUGGGAGGGGGUAUGGAGGAAGAGGGAAGGACAGAGCCCACGAUAUCUUUAUCAAACACAUAUGAAGUUGCCAAAAUGAGAACUAAACAUUGGGUAUAUUAUUUAGCACAACAAAUGUAACCAAUACACAAACCUUAAAGCUGUAUUAGCAGUUGGAAAGAGGGAGGUAGAUAAAGUGGAAGAGGAAACUGUAAGGGAACCAAAUGUCAUGCACAACAGGGAGUAAUAAGUUAUUGUUUAAAACUGAUAAAAAGAAAAAUAGAGGGGCACUGGGUGGCUUAGUUAGUUAAGCGUCUGACUUGAGCUCAGGUCAUGAUCUUGGGGCUGUGGAAUCGAGCCCUAGGGAAGGCUCGCUGCUCAUGGGGAGUCUGCUUCUCCCUCUUCCUCAUGCUCUCCCUCCCCCCUCUCAAAUAAAUAAAUAAAAUCUAAAAGAAAAAAAAGAGAAAAAUAGACAUAUAACCCUAUUAUAAUUAAAAAGAUCAACACCAGAACAUUAUAAAUAGAUAAAUAAAUAAGCAUACAUUAUUAAAACGAUUAUGUGUGGGGAGAGGGGUUAGGCAUUGAGAAUGAAAAAGGUAAGAUUGUGGUUUUUUACUAUAAACCCUUAUGAUAUUACUUAUUUUAUCAUGUACAUGUAGUGCUUUGAAUAUACAUAUUUUAAACAGCUCUUGUGAAAUCCUUUUAGUUGACUGGCUAUUUGAACAUUCCAGUCUGUCCUGGUGAUGGUGGUGGGAUGGAUUGUAAUCAAAGAAAACUGGUUUGCCCCUAGGCAUACACAGAUGGGAAGAAAGGGUGUGGGGAAGGUGGCCAUCGGAAAGACCUUCUCAGCCAGGGAGCAGAAUGGAUUGAGUUUUCCAGGAAGGUGUUCUACAGAUUAAGAAUAUACAAAUGAACUUCUCUACCAAUUAAAAUAAUCACAGAAGUCCAAAGAGGCAAAUCUGGAGUAGCAGGUGAUUGAGAUGUGGGGUAGCUGGAGUAAACCAGGGGCAAAUUAGAAGAUUGCCUGAUCCAUCAUUGCAGUGAGCAGGAGAUGUAAGCCAAAAAUACUUACCAGUCAGUUAGCUCAGCCUUAAAUGCUACUGAAUGUGGGCCAGGCUAGACAGGAACUAUGCGGGGUUAAUCUUGAUUUGAAUCUAGGCAAUGGGGAAUGGAAACUUAUGUUUCUCUACCAAGCGAUAAGCUUUUGGUUCUUAUGCACAAUUUCCAUUUUGCCUUCUCAUUCCGCAUACCACUGAUUUUUACCAAUUGCUCUUGUAAUUGACUUUUGCUACUGGAAGAAACUCCUAGAAUGUUGGAAUUUCUCUAUUACAUGUUUUACCCCAAAGAAUGUGUCAAUCAGCGCCAAAGCAAUAGUCUUGGGGCAGACAGCCAACUUGCAUCUGAUGACAGCAUUGCAGUAGAGGUCGCAAUAUGCUGACUUCAGAGUGAGCACAAGACUCAAGACAGAGAUCCUGGAGGGACAGCCUGGGGCAGAUGGGACGGGCAAGCAGGGUAUUUGCCUCAUAGCUCAGAGAAGGCUACUGGCUGGAAAAUACUAACCCUUUGUUCUUUCCUGUUCCCCCAUGUGGGUGAAAUGUUGCUCAUAACUGGAUUUCUAAGUCUGAUAGCCUAAAGCAAGCUUUGGCCCGAUGACUUUUAUGGACAUUUGUGUUUACUUCAUCAAAGUGGAAGUAAUAAUAAGAAUUAUAGGAAUUUGGGAUCCCUGGGUGGCUCAGCGGUUUAGCGCCUGUCUUUGGCCCAGGGCGCGAUCCUGGGACCCCAGGAUCGAGUCCCAUGUCGGGCUCCUGGCAUGGAGCCUGUCUCUCCCUCUGCCUGUGUAUUUGCCUCUCUCUCUCUCUA
rnacentral:lncRNA from 1 species